UAGGGUAUAGUGUAAUUGGUUAACAUUUUUGCUUUGGGUGUGAAAAAUUAUAGGUUCAAAUCCUAUUACCCUAA
rnacentral:tRNA from 1 species